GAACAGCAGAGAACAGAUGAGCAACAAGAUCAGUGACGUUGUGACGUAUUUCAGCUUUUUGCAAUCAACAUCAGCAUUGUUUAUUAUUAUUAUUUGUGAAUAUGGCCGAAGUUGAAGCUUCUUCGUCAAAUACUGAUCAACCAGAAGUUGAAAAUGUUGAAAAAUCUGAAGAGUUAGAAGGACCCUCACCAAAGAAGAGGAAAAUAAGUAAUCAGGUAGUGCUCUUUCAAAGCACUGAUAAUAAACCAGAUAAGCUGGAGCAAAGACUUGGAGGAAUCCUUUGUUGUGCUGUUUGUUUGGACCUUCCCAAGGCAGCUAUUUAUCAGUGCACGAAUGGCCAUCUGAUGUGCGCGGGCUGCUUCACGCACGUGCUGGCAGAUGCACGCUUGCGCGACGAACAGGCCACUUGUCCCAACUGCCGCAUCGAGAUCAGCAAGAGCAGUGCAUCGCGCAACUUGGCCGUCGAGAAGGCUGUUAGGGAGCUGCCUUCUGAAUGCCAGUUCUGCAGCAAAGAAUUUCCUCGAAACACCCUCGAGAGGCACGAGGAUACGGUUUGUGAUGAAAGAAUCACAAGCUGCAGCUUCUCACGCAUCGGGUGUCCUUGGCGCGGACCCUACCAUGAGGCGCCAGAGCAUGAGAAGGAGUGCGUCCAUCCUCACAGGUCGGGUGCAGAAGUCAUGGAGGCGUUGCGUGUCAUUGACGAAAUCAGCCAGGAAGAGAAGAGACUUUAUGACUCCAUUUUCGAUCUUCUCUCCUACGAGAAAAUUAUAUUCAGUGAUUUGCAAAUGAAGCCAUACCGGACUGAUGAGUUCGUGCAUAAGCUGUUCUACGAAACGUCGCGCUUCGCCGCCUUCAAUAACCAGUGGGUUGUCAAGGCACGCAUCAACAACAACCAGAAAGAUCCAACUUUAAGUUUGGAGAGAGAAAUGAAAUAUCAGCUAGGUGCUUCGGCGAGGACUGCAGGUCACGUGGCGUCUCCUGGCACGCAACAAGUUUGGCAACACCGCACCGUCAAGAACUAGAGAGAUGGCAACCUCGCAUCCUGCUGAUCAUCAUCCCCUCGUUUCAAACGAUUCACUCUGAAAUUGAGACUCCAAUGGCAAUAGAAAUGGUUAGGCACGCCAACGCAGUAGGCUUGCGGUGGUUGUUGAUUUGGACCAACUUUUUUGUAAUUGAGAAGGAUGGAGAGAAUGGAGAAGAGAGAGAGAAUCAAGAGUAGAGAAGGUUGAUUGCCGCCAAAUCGCACCAAAGAAGAGGAAUGAGAGAAGGCAUCGAUUGGUCCAUAUCUAGUUGAUCUUGAAAACCAAGACGACAGUGCCACUGAAUGUUCAUUUCCUGAUUCUGCGCGGACCAUUUGGAGACAUGAAGUUGGAUGCCAAGAUUUACAAAUUUGAGUUUACCGACCAGGAGAAUGAGAGCCAGUAUGUCGGCCUGCCAUUGGCCGAUACGGCCGAGUGCAACCGGCUUCUCGCGGCCAAAGCUAUCAACUUCAGGCUCAUUAUGUUUUUGGUGACAAAAUAAAAUCUGAUGUGGAAUUGGAAGAAGAGCUACUUCAUUCGAUAUAAAGAACGCUAAAUUUUAUUUAAAAUACAAUAUAAAUUAAUUUAAGUCUUAUUGCAGCAGUUUUAUGCACCUGCUCGAAUUCCAAAAAUUGUUGUUUGACUCAGAAGGACACUUGACAAAUAUCUUUUGGACUCGGUGCCUGAUGCUUUAAAACUUUGAGUAACAACAUUAGAUCUUAGUCUUCAUGUAGUAUCGAUAUGUGACAUAUUAAAUUAUAAAAUGUGUAUUUACAAGAAAAAAAUAAUAUUACUUCACAAUUAUAAUUUUAUUAUUUAGCGUUCUUUCAUAGAUUUAGAUCGUUAUAUUCAGCAUGAAAGGAUCAUUAUACGUUAUGAUAUUAAUUAUGUUUAUAUAAUAUUAUAAAAGAAUUUAUUUUGUUUUUUUUUAUUGUAGAAAUUUAUCAUAGUAUUUUAUUUAACUUAUUAGAUUUUUGAAGAGAUAAUAUUUUUAAUUUUAUUCGAAUAGUCAGUAUUUUUGUAUUCUCAUUAAUUGUUUAUUGUAAUGUAAUUCUUUAAAUACUUAAUAAUGUUUAAUUCUUCUUUUGAAGAGAAUCGAAAACAUUAUAUUCGACAUCACAAACAGUAGCAUGAAGAGACAACACAGUCCAUUUCUGAAUCACGAAUAGCUUGAAAAUACAAAUAAUAUUUUUUGAUAUCACUGAAUGUAGUAGCUUUCCAAGACAGGUACUGUACAUGCAUUUUAACAAGAUUAUUUUUGAAAUAGCACUUAAUUUAGAAUUAGUCCCUUAUAUAUACUUACUGUUCUUAUACUUACUGUCUUUUAAAUUUUCUUGCAAUAAACUUUAAUAAGAAUAUCAGAGUAA